rnacentral:rRNA from 1 species
AGAGUUUGAUCAUGGCUCAGGAUGAAUGCUGGCGGCGUGCUUAACACAUGCAAGUCGAGCGAGAGAGUCUCUUCGGAGACAAUCUAGCGGCGGACGGGUGAGUAACACGUGGGCAACCUGCCUUGUAGUGGGGGAUAGCCCUCCGAAAGGAGGAUUAAUACCGCAUAACAUUGCUUUAAGGCAUCUUAGAGCAAUCAAAGGAGUAAUCCGCUACAAGAUGGGCCCGCGGCGCAUUAGCUAGUUGGUGGGGUAAUGGCCUACCAAGGCGACGAUGCGUAGCCGACCUGAGAGGGUGAUCGGCCACAUUGGGACUGAGACACGGCCCAAACUCCUACGGGAGGCAGCAGUGGGGAAUAUUGCACAAUGGGGGAAACCCUGAUGCAGCAACGCCGCGUGAGUGAUGACGGCCUUCGGGUUGUAAAGCUCUGUCUUCAGGGACGAUAAUGACGGUACCUGAGGAGGAAGCCACGGCUAACUACGUGCCAGCAGCCGCGGUAAUACGUAGGUGGCAAGCGUUGUCCGGAAUUAUUGGGCGUAAAGGGCGCGUAGGCGGUGAUUAAGUGGGAUGUGAAAUACCCGGGCUCAACUUGGGUGCUGCAUUUCAAACUGGAAGUCUAGAGUGCAGGAGAGGAAAGUGGAAUUCCUAGUGUAGCGGUGAAAUGCGUAGAUAUUAGGAAGAACACCAGUGGCGAAGGCGACUUUCUGGACGAAAACUGACGCUGAGGCGCGAAAGCCAGGGGAGCGAACGGGAUUAGAUACCCUGGUAGUCCACGCCGUAAACGGUGGAUGCUGGAUGUGGGCCGUUCCACGGGUUCCGUGUCGGAGCUAACGCGUUAAGCAUCCCGCCUGGGGAGUACGGCCGCAAGGCUAAAACUCAAAGAAAUUGACGGGGGCCCGCACAAGCAGCGGAGCAUGUGGUUUAAUUCGAAGCAACGCGAAGAACCUUACCUAGACUUGACAUCUCCUAAUUACCAUGUAAUGUGGGAAGUCCCUUCGGGGACAGGAAGACAGGUGGUGCAUGGUUGUCGUCAGCUCGUGUUGUGAGAUGUUGGGUUAAGUCCCGCAACGAGCGCAACCCCUAUUGUUAGUUGCUACCAUUAAGUUGAGCACUCUAGCGAGACUGCCUGGGAUAACCAGGAGGAAGGCGGGGAUGACGUCAAAUCAUCAUGCCCCUUAUGUCUAGGGCUACACACGUGCUACAAUGGCAAGUACAAAAAGAUGCAAGACCGCGAGGUGGAGCAAAACUCAAAAACUUGUCUCAGUUCGGAUUGUAGGCUGAAACUCGCCUACAUGAAGCCGGAGUUGCUAGUAAUCGCGAAUCAGAAUGUCGCGGUGAAUACGUUCCCGGGCCUUGUACACACCGCCCGUCACACCAUGAGAGUUGGCAAUACCCAACGUCCGUGAGCUAACCCUUCGGGGAGGCAGCGGCCUAAGGUAGGGUCAGCGAUUGGGGUGAAGUCGUAACAAGGUAACCGUA